GACGUAGGGCGCGAGCGUUGUCCGGAUUUAUUGGGCGUAAAGAGCUCGUAGGCGGCUUGUCGCGUCGACCGUGAAAACUUGGGGCUCAACCCCAAGCCUGCGGUCGAUACGGGCAGGCUAGAGUUCGGUAGGGGAGACUGGAAUUCCAGGUGUAGCGGUGAAAUGCGUAGAUAUCUGGAGGAACACCGGUGGCGAAGGCGGCAUCCUGGACCAUGACUGACGCUGAGGAGCGAAAGCCAGGGGAGCAAACGGG
rnacentral:rRNA from 1 species